UCUGACUCCUGUUAUUGCAUACUAUUGAGAAAUCUAGCUUCCUGCAAUAUUUCCUCACAGUAGUUCUGAGAGUUCCAGGAAUCUUCUGCAGGAGCUCAAGAAGGAGCCCGGUUGGCUAUUGAUUCUGCUGCACAUAGAGGGGACUACAUCUUUCAAUUGCUCUAACCAUGUCAUUCUAACAGCUCUACUUUUCCAAACAUUACAUCCUAUUGUGGACUGUACUUCUGAAAUCUGGAAAAUACCACCAGGCCACAGCUUCCACCACUUUCCCCAGAAACAGAUUCUGAACAGAGCCAAGAUUAUCUCUGACCAAGCACUCUGCUCUCCAUGGAGUACUGAUCUCUGGGGAAGAUUCUACUGUGGAG
rnacentral:lncRNA from 1 species